rnacentral:rRNA from 1 species
UACGUAGGUGGCGAGCGUUGUCCGGAUUUACUGGGCGUAAAGGGAGCGUAGGCGGACUUUUAAGUGAGAUGUGAAAUACUCGGGCUCAACUUGAGUGCUGCAUUUCAAACUGGAAGUCUAGAGUGCAGGAGAGGAGAAUGGAAUUCCUAGUGUAGCGGUGAAAUGCGUAGAGAUUAGGAAGAACACCAGUGGCGAAGGCGAUUCUCUGGACUUUAACUGACGCUGAGGCUCGAAAGCGUGGGGAGCAAACAGG